GAAAUGCGAUAAGUAAUGUGAAUUGCAGAAUUCCGUGAAUCAUCGAAUCUUUGAACGCACAUUGCGCCCCCUAGCAUUCCGGGGGGCAUGCCUGUCCGAGCGUCAUUUCUGCCCUCAAGCACGGCUUGUGUGUUGGGUGUGGUCCCCCCGGGGACCUGCCCGAAAGGCAGCGGCGACGUCCGUCUGGUCCUCGAGCGUAUGGGGCUCUGUCACUCGCUCGGGAAGGACCUGCGGGGGUUGGUCACCACCAUAUUUCACCACGGUUGACCUCGGAUCAGGUAGGAGUUACCCGCUGAACUUAAGC
rnacentral:misc_RNA from 1 species